CCAGAAGUUAAAGUUAUCUGAAAGAGAUAAAUCCAGGAACUACAUGAAAAGUUGAUUUGGAUCUCAUUUCAAAGGUCAUAAAAGGUUCAGAAAGGAAUGGCAGUUUAAGGUUUGUUGCAGGGAGUCUAACAUUUUACUGGGGGAGAAAUUCUGCUGUGGCGAGAAAAACAAGUUUUGACAGAAUUAAAGUGGUUGAGAAAGAAGCCACUUUCAAGAACUUUUCCUGACUUUGUCUGGAGAUGGGGUUCGAGGAUGGGUUUUGACUACUGUUGCUUAUCAACUCAGAGAACCUAUUUUCACGGAGAAAACUCAUGAAGAAAAGAAAAAAGAAUCCAUUUCUUCCAUUCUCUUACAGCUUUCCCCCCUUAUGAAAAAUUCAAAAUACUCUGGAAGAAAUUAUGGGAAAC
rnacentral:lncRNA from 1 species